rnacentral:rRNA from 1 species
UACGAAGGGGGCUAGCGUUGUUCGGAAUUACUGGGCGUAAAGCGCACGUAGGCGGACUAUUAAGUCAGGGGUGAAAUCCCGGGGGCUCAACCCCGGAACUGCCUUUGAUACUGGUAGUCUCGAGUCCGGAAGAGGUGAGUGGAAUUCCGAGUGUAGAGGUGAAAAUUCGUAGGUAUUCGGAGGAACACCAGUGGCGAAGGCGGCUCACUGGUCCGGUACUGACGCUGAGGUGCGAAAGCGUGGGGAGCAAACAGGG